rnacentral:rRNA from 1 species
GAUGAACGUUGGCGGCGUGCCUAAUACAUGCAAGUCGAGCGAAUGGAUUAAGAGCUUGCUCUUAUGAAGUUAGCGGCGGACGGGUGAGUAACACGUGGGUAACCUGCCCAUAAGACUGGGAUAACUCCGGGAAACCGGGGCUAAUACCGGAUAACAUUUUGAACCGCAUGGUUCGAAAUGGAAAGGCGGCUUCGGCUGUCACUUAUGGAUGGACCCGCGUCGCAUUAGCUAGUUGGUGAGGUAACGGCUCACCAAGGCAACGAUGCGUCGCCGACCUGAGAGGGUGAUCGGCCACACUGGGACUGAGACACGGCCCAGACUCCUACGGGAGGCGGCAGUAGGGAAUCGUCCGCAAUGGACGAAAGUCUGACGGAGCAACGCCGCGUGAGUGAUGAAGGCUUUCGGGUCGUAAAACUCUGUUGUUAGGGAAGAACAAGUGCUAGUUGAAUAAGCUGGCACCUUGACGGUACCUAACCAGAAAGCCACGGCUAACUACGUGCCAGCAGCCGCGGUAA